rnacentral:rRNA from 1 species
GAUGAACGCUGGCGGCGUGCCUAAUACAUGCAAGUCGAGCGAACAGACGAGGCGCUUGCUCCUCUGACGUUAGCGGCGGACGGGUGAGUAACACGUGGAUAACCUACCUAUAAGACUGGGAUCACUUCGGGAAACCUGAUCUAAUACCGGAUAAUAUAUUGAACCGCAUGGUUCAAUAGUGAAAGACGGUUUUGCUGUCACUUAUAGAUGGAUCCGCGCCGCAUUAGCUAGUUGGUAAGGUAACGGCUUACCAAGGCGACGAUGCGUAGCCGACCUGAGAGGGUGAUCGGCCACACUGGAACUGAGACACGGUCCAGACUCCUACGGGAGGCAGCAGUAGGGAAUCUUCCGCAAUGGGCGAAAGCCUGACGGAGCAACGCCGCGUGAGUGAUGAAGGUCUUCGGAUCGUAAAACUCUGUUAUUAGGGAAGAACAAAUGUGUAAGUAACUAUGCACGUCUUGACGGUACCUAAUCAGAAAGCCACGGCUAACUACGUG